rnacentral:rRNA from 1 species
UACGUAGGGCGCAAGCGUUGUCCGGAAUCACUGGGCGUAAAGCGCACGUAGGCGGCUUUUUAAGUCAGGGGUGAAAUCCUGGAGCUCAACUCCAGAACUGCCUUUGAUACUGAGAAGCUUGAGUCCGGGAGAGGUGAGUGGAACUGCGAGUGUAGAGGUGAAAUUCGUAGAUAUUCGCAAGAACACCAGUGGCGAAGGCGGCUCACUGGCCCGGUACUGACGCUGAGGUGCGAAAGCGUGGGGAGCAAACAGG